rnacentral:lncRNA from 1 species
GAGUAAACUGUUAAGACUUAAAACUUACUCAUUUUACCUUUCACCAUGGGGCUUGCAACCGUCACUUUUGUCUUGAGCAGUUAAAAGAUAGAAUGGUCAAGUCAAGCGCCAUGUCUCUUAUUCUUGAUCAGGUAUGGCUCUAGAUUCCUUGUAUGACUCUCUCAAAUCUCUCUUUUGUGGUAUUUCUGGAUCCUUUCCAAGGCAGUAAUGGUAUAUGCCUUCUCUCAAAGUAUGUGGUAUUUUUUGUAUGAGGAAUAGUGAUAUUGCCUUCUCUCACACCCUACUCUAAUAAGGUUUUGAUAUCUAGAGCUCAUAGGUGGGAGACAGAUAAUACAUACUUACAAGACAUUUAUUGCAUAGUCAAACCAUGGAUCCAAAAGAACAAGUCAAUAAGUCAAAUCAAGAUGUGCAUGUGUGGCGAGUGAAUGGUGUAUGGUGAUGAUGGUGAUAACAAUGGUGAAAGUCUAAUUCUACUUUUGCUCUUUUAAGGGGAUACAUACCUUUCUUGCACUUUGAAGCUUUUUGAGGAGAAUGAGAUGCUCUAUAUAUUCUUUUUCUUUUCUCUCAGGUGGGUAUCUUGUACCACUAAUUCUACUGUCGUACACUUAUCCAUUUUUACCUAUCGUCUCACUUUUUCUUUUCUUCGAGGUUCCGAGCACUUGCCCCUUUUUAUUUCCUCGUAUCCUUUCUCUCUUUUUUUAGAGCACUCAUCUCCUGAAAUAAUAUAGCAAGUGGUAGUAACCAAGAUAACUCGAGCAUUUAUUUCACAGGGAAAAUAGAAAUAGGGAAAUGUUUUUGGCUAUUCUCUCUCGGAUUAGGAGUAGAAUAAUUUGAGGUGAAUCUAGAGAUGGAAAUGAGUGGAUAUAUGUGUAUGCGUACUUCCGGAGCAGAAGCAGCAUGUUUGAGUGAACGUGCAAGUGGAUCUUGAUUUUAACCACAUGACAAGCUCCUAUGGGUCUACACAGUUUGACCACACUCAAUGCUCAUAAGCAGUAAAAAGUAAAUAUAUGGUUCAUAGUCUAAUAAGCAUGUAUAUAUGGCUGUGGUAGGAUUUUAAACUUUCAUCAUACAGGAACUCAUCAUGCAACAUUUUAAAGAUUUUCAAAGAUAAAAUUCUCCAGAAUUCUAGCAUCUCUAGGAACAGAUAAACAGCAGCUCAACCUUCCCAUAUCAUAUCCGUUAACAACUUAGACUUCAGAUCAAGUACUCUUCCCACAAGUUCAGGUUUAGAGCAGGUUUAAAUUAUAACAGUUAUGCCUAAACUUAAGAGAGAGCUCAAACAUGAAAACUAGGUACAUGGCAGAGCAACUAUUUAUCAUAUCCAUGUAAGAGUUUAUCAUUUAAGUUCAGUUUGGCCUAGACACUUUAUUUAUUUAGCAAACUAAGCAAAGAUAUAUAUAAGCACAAAAUUUUUAUUUGGGUUUUCAUGAUUAUGCAUUUUUUUAUUAUUUGAGUAAAGUAUAAACGCGAGUAGAAACACUUAGCUGGAUAAAUGGGGGUGCUCUCCCCCAAGCUAGAUUUUGACGUAAUUUCAUCUGAUUUAGCUGGCAGGUGGUGGAGGUGUAUUUGAAUGUCGGCAGCACCCUAAGAGCGAUUACUAUGUCCUCCGGCGGCUAGUCUUCUUUGAUCCUUGAAUUCUGUGGAGCUCAAAUAGACAACAAAGCUUUGUGGAACUGGUUAAGUGUUAGCAUAAAUAUCUUGCCUUUAUCAUGUUGAGCCUCCUCAAUAAAUGUCACUCUCUUUGGUAGGAUCAUAAAUUUAUUUUUAUAUUUUUAUUUUUAUAGGAUAGGAAUAUAUUUAUUUUAUUUUUACGCCACCACAAUGAAUGUACUUAUGGGUUUUAUGCCAUGAGCAUACUCACAUGGGGCUUACUAUCUUAAACUUUUUUUUUAUUUUCUUUUCGAGAUUAUAUGAACCUGAUUGACUAAGAAAACUAUUUUAAAUAAUUGAAGGGAAAAGGAUAACUACCAAGCUUACCUCUUGGCAAGGCGUUCGGUAUUUUUAAGUCCUCCGAACAGGACUCUCUGUUUUCUCAGUUGUCCUGGGAUUCGCUGGAUGGCGUAGUCGGUGGUUCCGGCGGCGCCUCUUCUUCGUGUAUAACUAUCUUCUCUCUCCACACCUGACUCGGUGCUACGGUCUCCUCAGGACAGUUCUGUUCAAGCUGUAUGUCUUCAGACCUUACCACUUCUCCUUCGUAGUCUACCCAUCCAUCCUUGAUGAUUUUCCUCCUCUGGUUGCGGUUGCAUCAUCUUCUUCUUGUCCUGACCUGCUUAGAGUUUUCAACUAUAUAGUUAAGGUCAGUAAAAUAGCGGCAUACCAUCUCAGAGGGGAAAUGCAUGUGGACUUCUCAGGUUCCAAUGUAGAUGAUUGCUUUAACAGUGCCGAGCAACGGUCCCCGAAGGAUGAUGGGUGGAUCGUACUCGUCUUCUCCCAUAUCAAUAACCUGGGUCAUCAUUUUUGGUCAGGAACUGAGACUUAAGUCGAUGAUCUUGACCUACUUGAGCUGCAGUGACCAUCUUAGCUGACUCGGUCCACAUUUGCUUGUUCCUGUUCCUCCUGUUGGUCCUCUUCCUCGGUUCAUGUCGGGAUUGCUCUGAAAUUUGUGUAGUCUUGUUCUUGAAGGAAAACGCUUCCUUCUUCCCCUUGAUGUAGAAACUGAUCUUGGCAGCACUAGCAUAGAUGACAGCUCCCGAGGUGUUCAGGAAUGGCCUCCCUGAGUAGUUAGGCCUCUGUUGAUUCCAACCUUGAUUUUUUGAGGACGGUUGUUGUAGUAGUUGUUGUUGUUGAUGUAGUUUACGUCCUCAAGCAUCUCAAGGCAGUCAUUACCUGAGUGUCCAGUAUCUCUAGUGUGUUUGUGCUCGUAGAUCCAGGUUGUUCACUUGGUGGAGUCUCGGAGUUGUAAAACUCCUUCAUAUUUUGCUUGAAGUGUACCUGCUCAUAGAGACAAGGCAGAGAACAAGUGCAUGGGCCCUGUUGGUGAAAAACACCAAUAGAACCAAAAGUGUAUUUGUUCUUCUCUAUCCUUAAGCAUAGGGAGCAAGACAAAGUUGAUGGGUGAUAAGUUCAUGAGUGUAGCAUUUAAAACAUUUGUCAGAUCAGAUCACUCAACCUUAUGGAAAGAUAAUCUAUCUAUGUAUAUGUCUUUUUCUUUAUAUCUUCCCAAAGAUCGAAUGUGCAAUAUUUUAGCUUAUAUGAUUAGGAGUGUGGGAUCACGAAGGUAGUACUAAGAACAAAGAUUAAAGGACUAAACAUGUUGAAUUAAUUGGGCUGGUUAAUUUGGAGUUACAAAUCAUACAUGUUUGUCUCUUUAUUUUAUGUGAACGCCGAACCCAACGAGAAACUUAUAAAAGUGAUAGUCGCGUACCUUAAGAUGUUACCUUGAAGAGUGAUGGUACAGAAUCACCUUGUGGAAGCUUUCCUUUCUUAGCGGUUGUGCAUCGUGUUUAUGUACUUUGUCUCCUUCCAUGGAUCAUCUCUCUAUGAUGAAUGAGCUAUGUCUUCCUUGUGCAAAUCAUUAAACUUCAUGUGUCUCCUUUGUCUCCAAUGUGCGUUUGUAUCUCAGGACUUCCUAGGUUGAUAUUAAAAGUUUUCCUGUAGGGGUUACUCCGACAAAAUAUACCAAUGUCUACUCAAGCAGUUUUUAGUUCAGUAAUCAAACUAGACUCCAUUAUAAUCAGAUUAAGGGAGGCUAUUUAACCUAAGCACCACGCUUAAUUUAAAAGACAAUAGAAGUAUGUGCAGUACUUCCAAACUAACACUUACUAGGAUAAACAAAGGUAGUGUGAUGGCUUUUAUAGAGAUCUACUCAAGUGGAGAUGAAGUAGUGUGCUUAGUAUUUAACAAAUUGAGCAUGUCUCAAGGGUAAGGACAACCAACAUAGCA